UAUGUGUGGGGUAAAAGUUGGGAGAAGGCUAAAACUAUGUGUGAAUGCUACGACUACCUCUUUUCUAUUUGUGUGGAUAUGAAAAAGAACGGCUUGAAUCCAGAGAAAUUCGAAUGAAAAAAUCGGGAAUAAAGAAACAAGAAUUUACUGUAAUACACUUCA